rnacentral:rRNA from 2 species
UUACCAGAGUACUAUGAAUCUUUAAAAAUUUAAAACUCAAAGAACUUGGCGGUGUUUUAGACCACCCAGGGGAACCUGUCUCGUAAUCGAUAAUCCACGUUACACCUGACCUCUUUUUGUUUUCAGUUUGUAUACCGUUGUCGUCAGGUAACUUUUUAGAAAUUAGGAGUUAGCAAUGAAAAUAUUGAUAAUUUAUUAUGUCAAAUCAAGGUGCAGCUAAUAAAGAGGGGAGGAUGGGUUACAAUUAUAUAAUUUAUAAUGACGGGUAAAUAUAUGGAUAUGUGUUGAAUUAUAAGGAGGACUUGGAAGUAAAUUAGAGUAUAUAGAUAAUUUGAAUUAGGCUCUGAAACGUGU